ACACACACACCUCUUUCUCUUUUCUCGAUUGAUUUUUGAUCAGAGAGGAGUUCAACAAUCUCCCUCUCCUCAACCACCUGUCACAUCCCUCUUUCUGCCUGACAUUUGAAGAGCACGAGGAAGAGGAGGAUGAGGAAGGAAGAGGAAGAUGAGAGGAAAGAGGGAGGAUGGCUUUUUCAGGCUUUUCAGGGAAAAUAAGAGAAAUAUUGAGGCUUUGCCCUUUAGCAGAUACACCAGAUAUCAGUUUCUUCAAACAGCCAGUAAUUAUCAUUGAGCUACAAGAAACUAUGGCACCAUACUGGCUCUAUUAUUGGCUCUAUUGUUCUGACUGAUCAUCAGAUGUUUCAAGUACGGAAUGUUUUGUGUGAAGCAAGACUAAACAGCCUUAAAGCAUUAAAUCCUUAUGUGACGAUUUUAACUAUACAACUUCCCACCAAUCACAACAUUGACUUCAUUUUAAAGUCUGGUGAUUUUAAACGUUUUGUUUAAAGGUUUCUUCCUGCAACUCAAACCUUCACAGUCAUUUGGAGGAUGAGUAUCGUAGCUACCUGCAACUUGUGCCAUGAAUAACAACCAUAACAUAAACUGAAGUCAGCUGAUGGCCAAAUGUUUGUUUCGUUCCCCUGUUCAUUUAACCUUUAUGGUGGCAUUUAAAGACAGAGACAAAUGGACAGGGAUAAUCUUUAAAAGGUGAAGAGACCAUUACAUCAUCACCAUUACUAUCCUCCCCUAUAAGAGGCCAUUACUAUCCUCCCCUAUAAGAGACCAUUACUAUCCUCCCCUAUAAGAGACCAUUACUAUCCUCCCCCAUCAGAGACCAUUACUAUCAUCACCAUUACUAUCCUCCCCCAUUAGAGACCAUUACUAUCCUCCCCUAUAAGAGACCAUUACUAUCCUCCCCAUUAGAGACCAUUACUAUCCUCCCCCAUAAGAGACCAUUACUAUCCUUCCCUAUAAGAGACCAUUACUAUCCUCCCCAUUAGAGACCAUUACUAUCCUCCCCAUAAGAGACCAUUACAUCAUCACCAUUACUAUCCUCCCCUAUCAUCACCAUUACUAUCAUCACCAUUACUAUCCCUGCCAUUACUAUCCUCCCCUAUAAGAGACCAUUACUAUCCUCCCCAUAAGAGACCAUUACUAUCCUCCCCAUUAGAGACCAUUACUAUCCUCCCCCAUAAGAGAUACUAUCCUCCUCCAUAAGAGACCAUUACUAUCCUCCUCCCUAAGAGACCAUUACUAUCCUCCCCAUAAGAGACCAUUACUAUCCUUCCCUAUUAAGAGACCAUUACUAUCCUCCCCAUAAGAGACCAUUACUAUCCUCCUCCAUAAGAGACCAUUACUAUCCUCCCCUAUAAGAGACCAUUACUAUCCUCCCCUAUAAGAGACCAUUACUAUCCUCCCCCUUUAGAGACCAUUACUAUCCUCCCCCAUUAGAGACCAUUACUAUCCUCCCCCAAAAGAGACCAUUACUAUCCUCCUCCAUAAGAGACCAUUACUAUCCUGCUCCAUAAGAGACCAUUACUAUCCUCCCCCAUAAGAGACCAUUACUAUCCUCCCCUAUCAUCACCAUUACUAUCAUCACCAUUAUAAUGUCAGAAUGUCUAAGAAAGGGGUUUAAAAAGCAGAAUGUGAAGAUAAAGGGGGACUUAAAAGCCUAAUAUAUUCUCAGAAGGUUCAUUCUGCACCACAGCUGUCUUUUUUGUGGACAGUUUUGGUAAACGAGUGGCAACUGUCAUUUUUUGUUUAGACUUUGAGCUCAUACACGGAUGGAGGCAAGCAAGCCCACACACUCUGAUUUGAUCAGUAUGUCGUAUCUGACCCGGUGAACGCUCUAUUAACUCCCUGACAGCUGGGGGAUUAAGGUAUAUAUCUCUCUAUGUUUCUCUCUCUCUCUCUCUCUCUCUCUCUGUGUGUUUCUCUCUCUCCCUCUCUCUAUCUCUCUCUCUCUCUCAUCUCUCAUCUUUCUCUCUCAUCUCUCAUCUCUCUCUCUCUCUCUCUGAGCUCUGGGCCGAGGUCUGGGUGCCUUGUGAGAAUUGUUUGGCGAGUGAGUAAACCACCACUACCCUCCAUAUUAUUUGACAAUGUUCAAUCAUUGGAUAUCAAACUGGACAAUCUACGAGAAAGACUAUCCUACCGACGGGACAUUAAAAACUGUAACAUCGACAUUAAGAACAUACAGCUGGCAGUGGGUUAUACACUACAUCAGCAACCUCUGGUAAGACACAGGGUUGCGGCCUUUGUAUGUUUGUAAACAACAGCUGGUGCACAAUAUCUAAGGAAGUCUAGAGGUUUUUCUCGCCUGAGGUAGAGUAUCUCAUGAUAAGCUGUAGACCACACUAUCUACCUAGAGAGUUUUCAUCUGUAUUUUUUGUAGCUGUCUACAUACCACCACAGUCCGAUGCUGGCACUAAGACCACACUCAACCAGCUGUAUAAGGCCAUAAGCAAACAAGAAAAUGCUCAUCCAGAAGUGGCGCUCCUAGUGGCCGGGGACGUUAAUGCAGGCAAACUUAAAUCAGUUUUACCUCAUUUCUACCAGCAUGUCACAUGUGUAACCAGAAAAUAAAAAAACUGUAGACCACCUUUACUCCACACACAGAGACGCAUACAAAGCUCUCCCUCUCCCCCCAUUUGGCAAAUCUGACCAUAAUUCUAUCCUCCUGAUUCCUGCUUACAAGCAAAAACUAAAGCAGGUAGUACACCAGUGACUCGCUCAAUACGGAAGUGGUCAGAUGACGCGAAUGCUACGCUACAGGAACCUUUUGCUAGCAUAGACUGGAAUAAGUUCCGGGAUUCUUCCGAUGGCGUUGAGGAGUAUAUCACAUCAGUCACCGGCUUCAUCAAUAAGUGCAUCGACGACCUCGUCCCCACAGUGACCGUACGUACAUUCCCCAACCAGAAGCCAUGGAUUGCAGGCAACAUCCACCCCGAGGUAAAGGCUAGAGCUUCAACUUUCAAGGAAACUAAUCCGGACACUUAUAAGAAAUCCCGCUAUGGCCUCAGAUAAACCAUCAAACAGGCAAAGCGUAAAUACAGGAUUAAGUUUAAAUCCUACUACACCGUUUCUGACGCUCGUCAGAUGUGGCCGGGCUUUAAAACUACUACGGAUUACAUGGGAAAACCAGCCGGGAGCUGCCCAGCGAACCUACCAGAAGAGUUAAUUGCUGUUCGGGACGACUGUGUGAUCCCGCUCUCCAUAGUCGAUGUGAGCAAGACCUUUAAACAGGUCAACAUUCACAAAGCUGCGGGGCCAGACGGAUUACCAGGACGUGUACUCAAUGCAUGUCUUCACUGACAUUUCAACCUCUCCUGACCGAGUCUGUAAUACCUACAUGUUUCAAACAGACCACCAUAGUCCCUGUGCCCAAGAUAGUGAAGGUAACCUGCCUAAAUGAUUACCGCCCCGUAGCACUCACAUAUGUAGCCAUGAAGUGAUUUGAAAGGCUGGUCAUGCCUCACAUCAAUACCAUCAUGCCAGAAACCCUAGACCCACUCCAAUUCGCAUACCGCCCCAACAGAACCACAAAUGACGCAAUCUUAAUCGCACUCCACACUGCCCUUUCCCACCUGGACAAAAGGAACACCUAUGUGAGAAUGCUGGUCAUUGACUACAGCUCAGCGUUCAACACCGUAGUGCCCACGAAGCUCAUCAUUACGCUAAGGACCCUGGGACUAAACAUCUCCCUCUGCAACUGGAUUCUGUACUUUCAUGACGCACCUCCCCCAGGUGGUGUGUUCACAUCACCAACAAAUUAUCAUGGUCCAAACACACCACGACAGUUGUAAAGAGUGCACGACAACACCAUCGAGAGCAUUCUGACCGGUUGUAUUACCGCCUGGUACAGAGGUUAGUGCGAACGGCCCAGUACAUCACUGGGGCCAAGCUUCCUAACAUCCUGGACCUAUAUACUAGGCGGUGUCAGAUGAAGGCCCAAAAACUGUGAAAGACUCCAGUCAUACAAGUCACAGACUGUUCUCUCUGCUACCGCACGGCAAGCAGUACCGGAGCACCAAGUCUAGGACCAAGACGCUCCUCAACAGCUUCUACCAUCAAGCUAUAAGACUGCUGAACAACUAAGCUAAUCGAAUGGCCAAUCUGACUAUUUACAAUGUACAUUUAUUGUGCUACCAUUUGAUUGAAUCGUUUGUUUUAACUUUAUUUGAUUUAGUAAAUAUUUUAUUAACUAUAUUUCUUGAUGAAGUGCUUGUAAGUAUAUUAUAUAAAUAUAACGGUAAGUUCUGCACCUGUUGUAUUCGUCGCAUGUGACAUAUACCGUUUGAUUCAAUUUGAUUUGAUUUAUCUCUCUCCCCCCUCUCUCUCUCAUUCUCCCCCCUCUAUCUCUUUAUCUCCGUCUCUCUCUUUCAAAUUCUCAGUCGGUCUCUCUCUUUCAAACUCUCAUCUCCCCUCCAAGAGUGUCUUUAUUAUGUCACAAUGUCUGGUCCCACAACCUACCCCUCGCCAUCUCUCCCUACUCCCUCACUCUACCAGUCUCUCCAUCCCUCCCUACUCCCUCACUCUACCAGUCUCUCCAUCCCUCCCUACUCCCUCACUCUACCAGUCUCUCCAUCCCUCCAUACUCCCUCACUCUACCAGUCUCUCCAUCCCUCCAUACUCCCUCACUCUACCAGUCUCU
ensembl:lncRNA